GUGCUGGCUUUGGCAGCACAGACACGAAAAUUGGAACGACACAGAGAAGAUGAGCAUGGCCCCUGCGCAAGGAUGACACACAAAAAUGUGUGUGUGUGUGUGUGUGU